rnacentral:tRNA from 1 species
GGCGCGAUGGCACAACUCGGUACUGCGCUAGCCUUGAGAGCUGGUUCCCGCAAGGGUUUCCCGGUUCGAAUCCGGGUCGCGCCG